GUAGGUGAACCUGCGGAAGGAUCAUCAACAAAUCCAAACCAAAAAAAACCAAACACCUGUGUGAACAGUCUAAAAGAUAUUUUAUAUUAUUUUUUUUUUUCGGGAAAAAGUUUUAUGAGGUAUCUUUUAAUUUUUCAAAACCCCUUUAUUUUUUCUUUUUUUGUGUUAUGAUGAUUCCUUUGUUUAUUUCUUUUAUUUUUAUAUUUUUAAUUUCUUUCGGGAAAUUGGAAAGAAAAAAAAAAAGAAAAAAACAUAAAUUUCAUUAACUAAAAAAAAACAACUUUUAACAAUGGAUCUCUUGGUUCUC
rnacentral:misc_RNA from 1 species